rnacentral:lncRNA from 1 species
GUGAAAUGAUUGUGCGACAAAUCCAACCAUCCUGAUAAGGAGGAUAGGCCAAUAACUUCACUGGGUAUAGCCCCAGAAAGAUUAUUAUCUGACAGAUCUAAUUUCUGCAGUUGAUGACAAGUUCCUAGAGCUGAAGGUAAGCUUCCUCGUAUGGAAUUUCUAUGUAAAUCAAGUUCUGUCAGGAAAGUUAAAUUCCCAAAAGAUGAAGGAAUUUCUCCGGAAAUAUUGUUUCCAAACAAGGACAAUACUUGUAGCUUGGGAAGAGAUCCAACAGAAAUUGGAAUGCUUCCUGCAAGGAGGCACACCUCAAUGGCUAUUAAUAUCAAAUUUUUCAGGUUACCAAUUCCCGUUGGGAUGGAACCAGAUAUCGGAUUAGCUGACAUAUAUAAAUAGCUAAGAUGGGAUGAAAAAUUAGCGAUGGAAUUUGGCAAUAUCCCUCUUAGAUUAUUUUUGCUCAGGCUGACUACUUCUAAGUAAGUGCAAUUGACCAAAGAAUCUAGAAAUCUAAGAUCAUUACCCUUUCUGGUUCCAAGAUUAUUUCUUGCAAAAUUGAGCCUAGUCAGAUUCCUUAAUCUACCCAAAUCUUCUGGUAUCGAGCCCGUCAAAGAGUUAUUUGCAAAAUCUAGCCACUCAAGCUUACUUGCAUUAGAUAUAGAAUGGGGUAUAUUCCCAAAAAACUGAUUACCUGCCAAUAAAAGUAUACGGAUAUUAGGAAGUGUGAAGCCGAUGUAAGGUGGAAGUUCGCCAAAGAGUUGGUUUUCUGACACAGCAAAGUAUUCCAUUGAAGUGAUGUUAAAAAGCUGUACUGGAAUUGAACGUGUUAAGGAAUUUACCGAGACUUGGAACAUGUUUAGGUGCUUCAAUUGGCCUAGCUCAACAGGAAUGUUGCCAUUAAGACUGUUUUCUGAAAGAGAAAGCUGUUGAAGAAAUGAGAGAUUUGAAAGGGACUGAGGAAUAGGCCCAGUGAGAUAGUUAUUAGCAAGUCCAAGUCCUUUUAACUUGAACAAACUGCCCAAUUCAGAAGGUAUUUUACCUUCGAGCUUGUUCACGACUAAGUCGAGAAUCCUGAGCUCAGAACAAUGAGUGAGAUUGACAGGAAUCUCUCCUUGUAACAUAUUACGAUUGAAUAUGAUUGAUCGUAGCCGAAACAAGCGGCCUAUUUCAUGUGGGAUCAUUCCCGAGAAGCUAUUUUGUUGAAGAUUGAUAAGCCUAAGGAAUGUCAAGUUCCCGAUGUAAGGAGAAAGUGUACCUGUCAGAUUUUGGCCACUGAGAUUCAAUAAUUUGACUCUUUGAUGUUUGAGACUGCAAGUAACUCCAAGCCACAGGCAAAAGUUGACGGAAUCAUUCCACGUACUCAAUGCUCCAAAUGGAUCAGCUACCUUGCUUUUGAAAGCAAGCAAAGCUUGUUUAUCAGUUUCAGUUGCAAGAUUGGCACAGUGGGAAAAAGAGAAAUGAAAUAAGAAACUUAGAAGGAUGAAAAGGAAGAAAAACAAGAGUGCUAUUACAGGGGAAGUUUUAGUGUCCCUCAUUUAUAAAGCGAAUUUUAACGAGUAUUCAGCGUUUGGUGCAAUGAUCUACCUCAGUGCCUGCUAAUUUUAUAAAGCUAUGAGUAAGUGGGAAGGAAGUUGCUGGGAAGAUCUUAUAUCAAUAGUAAAUGAUUCUUGCUUUAUUUCUUUCGUACGAAGCUUGGAGACAAUGAGGCCUUAUUUUCUUGAUAAUGAGCACUUGGGUCCCUUUCAAGCUUUGUCCUUUUUCACACUAAUUCAACAUUCCAUCCAACCUAACAACAGUUGGUUCAAUCGACAUAUACAUAGUAUUAAGUACGGUCCAAAUAUCCCGUUAGAUCAAAUAGUCACGCAAUUUAUUGUUAUCUUAUCAAAGAAAAGAUACAGACGUAUAGUCUUGGUGUUCUAGAAGCGGUGAAGCACAGUCCCUUUUUGGUCAAUCCUUUAUUAUGUUUGUGUGGUCACUUUUAUGAUUAAUUAAAAGAAUAUAUUGUAUAUGACAAUAAAUGAGUAAAAAAUGAACAAAUAAAGCAAUUGAGACUAUUGAGAUCUUUCACAGCUUAGGUAAAGAAGAAAAUUACAAUAUACCCUUCUGAAAAAAUAAAACUAUCUAAACCCACAAAACAUUUAAAUUUGAGAGGAGAGAAUUCACAGCUUAGAAAUAAUCUGCCCACACUAGACAAAAAUUUCCACCAACCGAUUGAAUGACUAGAGGGUAGUUCUUUCUGUCGGCGGAAAACGCGUUCUAAGCCUCUUGCUUAUUUAGGGUACUUUCAAACAAUCAAACUUUUAUAUUGAAAUUUCGUGCAAGCAGUGUACAUUCAAACUUCCACAAUUGGGAUUUUGAAAUUUCGUUUCAAGCAUUGGUUAAUUAUUUUAUUGCAUGUUUUCAUAAGUAAAAUGCUCGAUAAAUUAAAAUUUCUAUUAAAUAACAGGUUUUGUCGAUUAUUACUUGUGAAAUUUAAAUUUGAUUACUUGACAUUCGUUUAAUUAAUAAAUUUUUCUUGAUUCCAAUAUCGUUAAUUUAUCAACGUUUAAAUAUAAUAAUAUCAUGUAAGUAUGUCUUAUAUUGUACUCGAUAAUUUAAGCAGCUAGAUUUACACAAGCACUUAUUUUAACAGCCUAAUUUGUUUGCUUCUUAUAUUAAAAGCAAGGGUUUAAGGACUCAAGUAUAAAAGAGGAGUAGGGUAAUGUAACCAAAAAGUGAUAAAAUUAAGACACUAACACUUAUUUUCUCUCUAAUUAUAGAGUAAUGUUAUACAUUCUAAAUUUUUUUAUCUCAAAAAAUUAUCUCAAAUGAUAUGGCAUUCGUUAAUUAAUUGGUAAGAUAAGACAUUUAAUCACUUAGAUUUUGUAAAGAAUUACUAAAUACUCAAUUAAUGACACAUCAUUUGCGAUAAAUUUUAGAAUAAAAUUUUUGAAAUAUCUAUCAUUACUCUGCGUUAUAAUCUCUUUCUUUCUCUAUUACUGUAGCAACUAAAUUGAAACAUUUUAGAAUCAACAUCUGACAAGUUUAAUUAAAGGGCUUUAUGUGUUAAAAAAAAUUAAAGAGUUUAAUGAUGAUGAUGAUGAUUAUUAUUAUUAUUAAUUUAUUAUUAUUAUUAUUAUUUAAUAUUAUUAUUAAGAAGAUGAAGGUCCAAUGUGAUGUGUGUAGCAAAAACGGAGCCUCGGUGUUUUGCACAUCCAAUAAACAGCUCUUUGUGACACGUAUGCCCACCAUGUUCACCACGCCAACAAGCUCGCCUCCAAUGCUUCUCUCUUUUUCAUCCUUCCCCUAAGCGAUUUGCCGACUUUCAGGUCUUAAUUUAUUUUGAUGAGAAAAUAAUUCUCUUUCUAAUUUUUUGGCGUACGUCCCCUAAUUCAUUAAAAUGAAGUGUUAAUUUUCAGAAAAGAAAAGAAUUUCUUGAUAAAGAAAGAAGUGAUUUACUGGAAAGAGAUUGAAUUAGAACAGGUUUGGCAGUAUAUAAGUGUCUUUAUAAAUUUAUGAAGUCCCUUAAUCAGUUAAUUGGGGUUUUUCUAGAGGGAUUUUAUCAAAACCCUUCGGACUUCCAAUUUGACCCGAUGGAAGGGCCUGGGCUUAAUUGACAGGUUGAAUUUUGGGCUUUGCUGAUAAUCCAAAAGACUGGAACUUUUAACAGCCCGUUGAAAUUCUUAUAACACCCAUUUUGAAUUUUAUUUCCCAAAAUACCUCAUUUUAAUUUAUAAAAUAUUAAUGCAUGUAUUAAAAUUAAAAAUCUUCCUAUAAAAUUUCACAAAAAACGAAUAUUUUUCUUAAUUCUCUAUUUAUAAAAUAAAUGAAAAUCCUAAAACCUUAAAUUAUUUUCUUCUUAUUAAUUGUUUAUAUUUCUAUAACUGUAAACUCUUAUAAUAUAUCAAAAUUUUGUAUUAAAAUUAAAAUAUAACAUAAUUAAUUAUGAAAUGAAUUAGGUAUAAAAAUUUUGUUAAAAUAAUAAAUUAUUUAAGUGUUUAAUUGAAUUUCCAUUCAAAAAAUAAGAAAUGAAUUAAAUUAUCUUUAAUUUUAGCAAUUUCAAUUAAAAAGUAGUUUUAUAAGAAUUUUUGAAGGGUAUCCAAAGGCCUAGUCUAUCCAAAAAAGAUUAAUUUUUAACAACGUUGCUUUGUUUAAUUUUAGCAAAGGCCUAGUCUUUAAUUUUAGCAAUUUCAAUUAAAAAGUAGUUUUAUAAGAAUUUUUGAAGGGUAUCCAAAGGCCUAGUCUAUCCAAAAAAGAUUAAUUUUUAACAACAUUGCUUUGUUUAAAAAAAAAAUAAAAUUGACCCUCAAUUCUCAUUAGCCUAAAUUUCUCAAUUAUCUUCACCAAAUUCUUUUUGAAAAAAAAUUCCUAAAUACACCUUAUAUAAUCCUCAAUGUAUCCUUAUUAUCGUUUUUAUUCCUUUUUAAUAUGAUUAUAAAUUUUAUUUUGAAAAGAUUGACACGGUCAAAUAUUACUAAUUGUUAAGUGAGAAUAAAUUUUCAAUUAAAUUUAAUUGUUAUAUACUUAAAAAGUUAGAAUACAAAAUUUGUAUCCCAAAAUAACGUGUCAUCUAAUUAAAUACCAAUGAUUACCAAGUGUUUGGUAAUAAUUAAUUUUUUAUAUCAUCACUAACGAGAUGAUUUCAUAGCACUAAUGAAUGACCAACAUUUCGUAUCUUCAUCAUUUGCAAUAUGAAUAUUAUAUCCCGAUUUUGUAAGCAUGUCAUUCCUCCUGAAGCAAGGUUUAAUUAUUAAACAAAAACGUGAAAGAAAAAUAUUGGAGACUAUUAUAUGUUUUUUUUGUAUUUACUUUCCCUUUCAUCGUCUUAUUUGUUAAUGUCGAAACACGGCCGGUAAGAUAUCAUCAAUGGAGUUAAAUAAACGAAAUUUAGUAAUUUUCUUCCCAAAUUAAUGAACUCUCAAAAAAAAAAACACUAUAGCUCGAAUAUGAAUUCUGAAUAAAAUAUUUGAAUAUGAAAUCUGAAACAAGCAAUGGGAGUUGGCAGCCACUGGAUAAGUUACAUGAUCCGUAACUUAGCCAACUCCUAAAAUAUCUUACUUAACGUCAAUUGGACUUAAUUAUGGUCCCAGAAUAUUUAACCGCCCAGUUUAAUGUCAACGAAAUAAAUCAAGUUGUUGGACAAAUUAACAAUGGAGUUAAUUAUGGUCCCAGAACAUUUAAUGACUCAAGUAUUAUUUCCGCCCUUUAUUAGUCUAAAAAGACAAAUUGCUCCAAUUUGCAUUGCCUUUCGAAUCACUUUAUUCCAGAAAGUGAAUCCAUGGAGCAUCGGGUUUUGAACUCCAAAUGGUUUGUCCUCGUUCAUGUUUUAUGGCUAGCUCCAAGCUUAGAAUCAGCAACCAUUGAAGCGGACAAGCUUGCUUUACUUGACUUCAAGAAUCAUAUAACUCAAGAUCCUCCGCAAAUCAUGAGCUCAUGGAAUGAUUCUGUCCAUUUCUGCAACUGGGUUGGUGUUACGUGCAGUCCCCCUAAUGGAAGAGUCACAGUCUUAAAGCUGGAAUCAAAACAGUUGGUUGGCUCAAUUCCUGCCUCUAUAGGAAACCUUACAUAUCUUGUAGGGAUCAACCUAUUCCAGAACAGCUUUCAUGGCCAAAUUCCUGAAGAAAUAGGACGUCUACAGAAGCUGCAGGAUCUCAAUUUAACUUACAAUUACCUUAGUGGGAAAAUUCCAACAAAUUUAUCUCACUGUACAGAACUUAGAUCAUUUGGAGCUAGUUUCAACGAUUUCAUUGGCCAGAUUCCCGACCAGCUUAGGUCAUUAACAAAACUGGAAUUCAUCGGCCUUGGAGGCAGCAAUCUUACAGGAAAUGUCCCAGCUUGGAUAGGCAAUUUUUCUUCUCUGCAGGUUCUGUCGCUGGCUAGGAAUAAUUUACAUGGGAGCAUCCCAAAUGAACUUGGCCAGCUUUCAGGCCUGGGACUUUUCACACUUUAUGGGAAUUUUAUAUCUGGUAUCAUCCCUUCUUCCAUUUAUAAUAUAUCAUCUAUAUACUAUUUCUCUGUGACUCAAAACCAGCUGCAUGGGCAGCUGCCUGCAGAUGUUGGCCUCACCCUUCCUAAUCUGAAAAUAUUUGCUGGUGGUGUUAACUAUUUCACAGGAAGUAUUCCUGUGUCAUUGUCAAAUGCUUCUAAUCUUCAGGUUCUUGAUUUUGCUGAAAAUGGUCUCACUGGGACUAUUCCUGAAAACUUUGGGAGCUUGAAAGAUCUAGUUAGACUAAACUUUGAUCAAAAUGAACUUGGAAGCAGAGAAAUAGGCGACUUGAAAUUUCUCUCUUUCUUGGCUAAUUGUACUAGUCUUGAAGUGUUAGGUCUUGCUCAAAAUCGCUUCGGGGGAGAAUUGCCUAGAUCCAUUGCAAACCUUUCAACCCAUUUGCGAAUUCUUACAAUGGGAGAUAAUCUCUUUCAUGGAAACAUCCCAGUUGGAAUUGGAAACCUUGUUAACUUGAGCCUUUUGGGAUUUGAAGGGAACAAUUUAAGUGGCAGUUUCCCUGAAGUUAUAGGGAAGCUCAACAAAUUAGAGGGAUUGGAGUUGAAUGCUAACAAAUUUUCAGGAUUUAUCCCGUCUUCCCUUGGUAACUUGACUGUAUUAAGUAGGCUUUUGAUGGAGGAGAAUAGAUUUGAAGGAAGCAUCCCUUCGAGUCUUGGAAACUGCAAAAAGUUACAGGUGUUGAACUUAUCAAGUAAUAAUCUCAACGGCACCAUACCCAAAGAAGUUGUCAGCCUCUCUUCUCUUUCAAUUUCUUUGGUCAUGUCUCAUAAUUCUUUGGUUGGUUCACUCCCACCUGAAGUAGGCAAGUUGACAAAUCUUGUUGAAUUGGACGUGUCAUACAACAGGUUAUCAGGUGAAAUUCCAAGCAGCCUUGAUAGUUGUAUUAGUUUGGAGCGACUGUAUCUGGGGAAUAACUCAUUUAAAGGGACAAUUCCUGUAUCCUUAAAAAGUUUAAGAGGUUUAGCAGAAUUAGAUCUUUCAUGUAAUAACUUGUCUGGCAAGGUUCCCCAAUUUUUCAGCAAGCUUUUAUCUCUCAGGCAUCUCAAUCUCUCUUACAAUGAACUGGAUGGAGAAAUAUCCAGGGAAGGGAUUUUUGCAAAUGCCAGUGCCAUUUCCAUUGUUGGGAAUGAUAAGCUCUGUGGUGGCAUCCAAAAAUUACAGUUACCUGAAUGCUCCAGAAAAAAUCCCAGAAAACGUCUUUCUCUAAAAAUAGUAAUUCCAGUAACUAUUUCAGUCCCAAUUUUUAUUCUUCUUUUGACUGCUUUGGUUAUUUACCGUAUAGUCAAAACUUCAAGAAGACAGUCCGCUCCUCCUUCUAAUGAGUGGCAAUCCGGCCUGUCUUAUUUGGAGAUCUCAAAUGCAACUGAUAACUUCGCUGAAGAAAAUUUGAUUGGUUCUGGCAGUUUUGGUUCUGUAUACAAAGGAACUCUUGCUGAUGGGAAAACUGCUGCAAUUAAGGUACUAAAACUGCAACAGCAAGGAGCUUUAAAGAGCUUCAUUGAUGAAUGCAAUGCUUUGAGUAGUAUACGACACCGUAACAUCCUCAAGAUCGUAUCUUCAUGCUCAAGUGUUGAUUAUGAAGGGAAUGACUUCAAAGCUUUAGUUUUUGAGUUCAUGCGGAAUGGAAAUCUGGACCGGUGGCUGCAUCCAAGUACUGAUGAGUAUUGUCAUUUUAAGAAAUUGAGCCUCAUGCAGAGACUGAAUAUAGUGAUAGAUGUAGCAUCAGCAUUGGAUUACCUCCACAACCAUUAUGACACACCAAUUGCACAUUGUGAUCUAAAGCCGAGCAAUGUACUCCUUGAUGAAGAUAUGACAGCUCAUGUUGGUGAUUUUGGAUUGGCAAAAUUCCUCUUUGAAGAAUCCAAUACUCCCUCCAAAAAUCAAACAAUGUCAAAUGGGCUCAAGGGUUCCGUUGGUUACAUCCCUCCAGGUACUUCUUAAACCAAAUAAAUCACAAUUCUUUCUUGACACUAUCAACUUUGAUAUUCUAAUUACAAAUUUCACAAAGUGCAGAGUACAUCAACGGCCAUGUUUCAAUACUUGGAGAUACAUACAGCUAUGGCAUAUUAUUGCUGGAGAUAUUUACAGGAAAAAGACCAACAGAUGACAUGUUUAAAGAUGAUCUGAGCAUUUACAAGUUUGUAUUAAUGGCCUUGCCCAGCCAUGUCAUGGAUGUUCUUGACCUAUCAAUGUUGCUUGAAGAAGAAAACGAUCAUGAAAAACAUGAGGAAGAAGAUUUGUUUCCAGACAUUGAAUCACAAGUUGCUCAAAAGAAAUUAGAAGAAUGCUUGGUUUCAGUGAUGAGAAUUGGAGUCAUGUGUUCUGCAGCUUCGCCAAGAGAUCGGGUGGGCAUGAAAUUUGUUGUUAACAAUCUGCAAGCGAUUAGAUCAAAAAUAAGAAUGCGAGGAGAAUGAGAAGUCUAAAAGAUUUCAACUCAUCUUUUAGAAGUAUGUAACACAGGAGUGUUUGAAAUAUUUGGUAAUGAAGUUAUACCAAGUGCAGCUCAAGUUCUUACAUUAAUCAAGUUAGCAGAAUGUCUGUGCAGAAGGGGCAUCUUUGGAAAUUAAACUGUACUGCAUGAGAUCGAAUUAAUUUUCGAGCCAUACAUCAUUGGAAAGAUAUUUCUGUUAGCUUUCCAAUGAAUUUUACCAAUCUAAAUUUGGAGUUUUCUACAGUAAGUUAUGAUCAGUUAAGUGCAGACUGUUCAGUUUUGAGUCAAGAAGAAUAUUUCGGGACUUGGAUUUUUUUUAAUGUUCUUUGUUGUGUUUUAAGCAUACCAAUGUUUUAUUAAUGUCUAGCUUUAAUGUUGGUCUUAAAAGUCAAGUUAUUUGAAGGGUUUCUUUGUAGUAAAUCUAUGCUUGGAGGAUUGUUCCAAAAAAGCUAUUUAAGCUUAUGUAGUUGUAACCAAAGGACGAAGAUUAAUUUUGGAAUUGAAUGAACUUUGAGUUAUUAUCAAACUCUGUAUCUCUUUGGUGGAUUCCAAUGAGUGGUGAGUAUUUUUAAGCCCUGUAUCCUUAGCUUAACAACUUUAGGUGGUGAAUUUUUCUGUAUCCUUUUGUUGUUUGCUGUGGUGGUGAGCUUGUGAUUUCUUGGGUGUGUGACGUUGUGUUUUCCCAUCUAUUGUGUCCGGUGUCAGUAUGUAAUUUCAAAAUAGUAAAAACUUAGAUAAAUAAAGAUGGCCUGGUUUUAUUGCUGUAAUUUUAUGUUCAUGGAACAUUUUCGUGCUGUCAUAUAUAUAUGUCUUAUUACUUGCAAUCAACUCGCUGAAACAACAGUGAAAGAUAACUGCUAUUUGCCUGCAUCUUGAGUUGAGCAUUAAUUAAUCCCACAUCGAAGAAGAGUGCUUUUGACUUUCUGCAGAUUGUUUACAACAUCACUGAUGUCCAUCCGUUCUCUGGGGGAUUCUACUGAACAAGCAACUCCAAUUUUGAGUAUUGUAGCCAGACUCUCUUGUACUUGGUCCUGUUUAAGUUUUUCUUCAGCUGUUCCUUCUCCUUCUUCUCCUCCAGUAACAAAGAGUGGGUCUAAAACUUCUGAUAUUUGUUCAGGCAAUGCGUUUUUAACAAAAUUGUGGAGGUCCAAACCUUCCGCAAAUAUGUCACUGGUAGGCCUUUUCCCUGUAAAAGUUUCCAGCAAGAGGAUCCCAUAGCUGUACACAUCACCAUAUGUUGAAACCCGACUUCCCAUGCCAUAUUCUACAAUAUUCAAAUCGUUCAUUAGUUAGAAGCAGGAGCAUUUUUCAGUUUUAAGUACAGUUACUUCUCAUUUGUGCUUAAUUUGGCCUGUUUGUAAGCACAGGUAACGUGUUAAGAACUUAUAUUACCAAUACACCGACCAAAUUGAUAGCUAAUGAUUACUGAACACCUACCCAAUAUAUAGUUAUAUUUUGCAUCUGGGAUACAAUUUCCGAGAAUAAAGACUUCUAAAAAAUUGUUCAUGAAUAAAACAUGAAAUCAAUGGUUACCUGGUGGAGCGUACCCAACGGUUCCUUUCAGUCCAAUUGAGCUACUUUGAUUGGAACGGAUAGCUUCCGGAAUAAACCUUGUUAACCCAAAAUCGCCCACAUGUGCAGUCAUGUCAUUAUCAAGAAGAAUGUUGCUUGGCUUUAAAUCACAAUGAACAAUUGGCUUUCCGCAGUGGCGAUGAAGAUAUUCUAGAGCAGAAGCCACAUCAAUGGCAAUGUUUGUUGAAAAUAGCAGCCAUGACCAUGACCAUGACCAUGACCAAUCAACAGCUGACCUCAGUGACACAUUGGCAUGCCACCUGAGCUACACCCAUUUACCAGCUGAUGAAAGAAAUGAGACAAAUUCAAUGAGGCGGCAAAAUAGUUACACAGAGGAAUAUCAGCACAUGGGAUGAAUGGAUGAAGAUUCUGGAAGCAUUAUAUCAUUGGCUAAUGAUUCACGGAUUGUUUUUGUUUUAUCUGAAAUUGUUAUCCUUAACUAGCUGUCAUUUUUGUUCUUUUAUGUAUAUAUAGACGAUGGCCUGUAAACAUUAUUCAUUCAAGUUUUCUUUCAAUACAAAGCCUCUGGUUUUCUGCUUGCCAAAGAAAAGCAAUUCCCAAGGAAUUUAAGUUGGUAUCAGAGCCAUCUUUAAAGCUAUGGCAAGCAGCAGCAGCACACAAGCAAAUGUGAACCAAAAUGAUCAGAUGGGCAACUUGAAUCAAAAUGAAAAUCAAAACACCCCUCAAAAUAUUGAAUAAAAUUCCAGUCACAACACACCUUCACCCACUCAACACAUCACCAGCAGCACAUAUGUAUUCACAACUCCCAUUAAGCUAAAUCAAAACAAUUUCAUGCUCUGGAGAUCACAAGUGAUUUCCAGCAUUAGAGCAAAUGAGCUUGAGGGGUUCAUAGAUGGCAACCAUAUAUGCCCUUCUAGAGUCUUCAUAAACGUUGGACAAGAUCAAACAAUAAUUACCACACCUAACCCAGAAUACCAAGUCUGGAAGAAGCAGGACCACAUCCUCCUAAGUUGGUUGCUAUCUUCACUCAGUGAGGAAGUUUUAGGCACUAUGGUGGAUUGUUCCACCUCCUUUGAGGUGUGGACAACUCUUUCCAAUCAAUUCGGUGCAAGAACUAGAGCUACAAUCUUACAUCUCAGAACACAAAUCCAGACCACCAAAAAGGGCUCACUAACCAUUCAUGAGUAUUACUCUAGAAUGAAGUCUAUAUUAAAUGCACUUAGGGCUGCAGGGAGUAAUAUGAGUGAUGAUGACUUUAUCAUGUGUGUAUUUGCUGGUUUGGGAUCAGAAUAUGAUUCAGUUAUUGCUAGCAUAAAUUCAAUGCAGGAAAGUCCCUCACAUUCUGAAGUCUAUGGCAUGCUUCUCAGCCAAGAAAACAGAACUGAACAUAAACUAAGCUCAGGGACUAUAGAGGCAAACUAUGCACAAAUGAGAAAUGAGAGAAGGAAUUGGAACAACCAGAAUAGGGCUGGAAACCAAUACCAACCUGGCAUAGUUUUCAGAACCCCUGGCAAUGGAUCUGGUAAUGGUCAAGGAAAUCAGAACUCUCAUGACAAAAGGAAAGGCAAAGCUGUGAGUGAUGAUGAUGGUUCAAAUCCAAAGGGGCCUUGUCAAAUUUGCUGGAAAAUGAGACACACAGCUGCUGAUUGCUGGCACAGAUUCAAAAAGAAUUAUGUGCCACAACCAAGCCAAAGGAGAGAACCAAGAGGUGCAUAUGUGGCUGCAACUAAUGGCCAAAGCAGUGGAGCCUGGUACUUGGACAGUGGUGCCACAAACCAUGUGACAAAUGCCCUUGGUAACAUAAACAUCAACUCUGAGUAUCAAGGUAAUGAAAAGUUAACUGUUGGAAAUGGUGAAAAACUCUUGAUCUCUCAUGUUGGUAACUCUGUGCUUUCCACUUCAAAUCCACAUAAACACAUUGCCUUGAAUGACAUAUUAUAUGUGCCAAGCAUCACUAAAAAUCUCAUUAGCAUUUCCAGAUUAUUGCAUGAUAAUGAUAUUGAUAUUGAAUUUUAAAAAUCUGUGUGUUUUAUCAAGGACAAGAGACAAGGGAAAAUUCUGGUGAAAUGAGUGGCUAGAGAGGGGCUUUAUGAGCUGCUGUGCUUGCCUACUCACCUGAGUGGGAACAAAACUCUUUUAUGCUGCUGUUUUAUCUUCAUCUUUCAUGCCUAAGUCAAUAAAUUGCAUCAGCAAUCCAAUGUCUAUGCUGUCGUUUAAUUUGAGUAGUGUCAAGUUAGCAAAUGUUUGUGUUGAGUCCUCUGAAACUGAUAGAUCAAGCAAUGAUGCUUUGAAAGACAUUGAUCUCUGGCAUCUCAAACUAGGGCACCCAAAUGAGUAUGCUCUGAAAAGCACCUUGUUGUCUUGUAAUCAGUUCAAAUUAAACAAGAAUUUCGUUCCUUCAUUUUGUUGUGCAUGUCAGUAAGGAAAACAAUCUAAACAAAACUUCAAAAGCACAGAAACUAAAACCAGCAAGGCUUUAGAAUUGAUUCAUGCUGACUUAUGAGGACCAGCACCAAUUCCUUCAAGUCAUGGACAUAGAUAUUACAUAUCUUUUGUGGAUGACAUGACAAGAUACACCUGGUUGUUUCCCUUGGCAACAAAAUCCCAAGCUCUCAAUACAUUCAUCACCUUCAAAAGUCAAAUUGAAAACCAAUUGAAUCUGAAAAUUAAAGCAUUUCAGACAGACAUAGGAGGAGAGUUUAAACCAUUCAAACCAUUUCUUGACAAAGAGGGCAUAUCAUUGAGACAAUCAUGUCCAUAUCUACAUGAACAAAAUGGCAAGGUUGAGAGAAAACACAGACAUGUGGUAGAAACUAGGCUCAUAUUGCUAGCAUAAGCUAAAAUGCCAUUAAAGUUCUGGCAAGAAGCUUUCACUUAUGCCACCUACAUUAUCAACAGAUUAGCCUCACCUGUUAUUGGAAAUAAAACCCCAUUUGAACUGCUUUACCAUUUCAAACCAAAUUACUCACAAAUCAAAGUAUUUGGGUGUGAAUGCUAUCCAUUUUUUAGACCAUAUAACAAGCACAAGUUUGAUUUCCAUACUGCCAAAUGCACACUGCUAGGGAUAAGCAUAACUCACAAGGGAUAUGUUUGCAUGCAUCACUCAGGUAGAAUAUAUAUCUCUGCAAGUGUCAAAUUCAAUGAAAGCUCAUUUCCUUUUUCUAAUGACCCCAAGUUUAGUAGACAAGAGUCCACAAGUCAGAGCGAUUUCAUUACUCUUUUAGAAAAAUUUUAGGUCGUGUCAUUCUCCCUUGAUACUCCUCAAAACACUCAGUCAGCAGCUGAUCAAAGCCACUCUUGGAACUCCUGAAACUUCAGAACAAUCCCAGAACCUUGACCAAGGUAAGACACAACAGAAUUUGAGCACUAAUAUGAUAUCAAAUAAUCAAUUAUCCUCACCUCAUUCAAAUCACCAGCCUCAAGCAAAUGAUCAACCUUCAUCCCUUAUCACAGCACCCAAUACAAAAGGAGAUGUACCAUCACAUCCUAUGGUAACAAGAUCUAAGGCAGGGAUCUUUAAACCAAAAUUGUACCAAAUCUCUACUCAACCACAGACAGCAUUACCCUCAAACACCUCAGAAGCCUUAAAAGAACCAAGCUGGAAAAAGGCAAUGGAAGAUAAAUACAAUGCCUUGAUAAAAAAUGAAACAUGGACCUUGGUACCAAAUGACUCAAGUUACAAGCUGAUUGGAAAUAAAUGGGUGUAUAGAGUCAAAGAGAAUCCAGAUGGAACCAUAAACAAAUAUAAGGCCAGAUUAGUGGUGAAGGGGUUUUUGCAGAUUCCAGGCAUUGAUUUCACAGAGACUUUCAGCCUAGUUGUUAAGGCUGCAACAAUCAGAAUCAUCCUUACUUUGACAGUAAACAAUGACUGGAUACUGAGGCAGAUAAAUAUAAACAAUGCCUUCUUGAAUGGUGAGUAGACAUAAAUGGUUUACAUGCCACAGCCUAAAGGUUUUGUAGACAAAAGCAAGCCUAAUCACAUAUGCAGAUUAAAGAAAGCAUUGUAUGGUUUGAGACAAGCCCCCAGGGCAUGGUUUGACAAACUAAAGGGUGCCUUAAACUCUUGGGGAUUUGAAAACUCCAAGUGUGAUACCUCAUUAUUCUACAGAAGAACUAAAUCUGAGAUAGUUAUACUACUUAUUUAUGUUGACGACAUCAUUAUUACAGGUGACAACAGUGGCAGUAUUGAAGAGCUGGUCAGUAAUUUAAAUAGGGCCUUUGCCUUAAAGGAUUUGGGAGAGCUAAACUUUUUUUUGGGGAUUCAGGUGAACAGAAAUCAAAAUGCUAUUAUGCUGUCUCAAACCAAGUAUAUACAAGAUUUGCUUGCCAAAACAGAAAUGAGUAAUUGUAAAGGAAUUGAAUCACCUUUCAGUACUACAGAAAAGCUGAAGAAGAAUGAAGGAGAAAAGUUUCAUGAUCCCACACUGUAUCGAAGUGUUAUAGGUAGCCUGUAGUAUGCAAUACUCACAAGACCUAAGCUUGCUUAUUCAGUGAACAAGCUUAGCCAAUACAUGUCUGAUCCUAGGCAACCUCACUAGAUAGCAUGCAAAAGAGUAUUAAGGUAUCUCAAAAGCACCAUGAACAUGUGUUUGAAAUUCAAAAAGUCAGAGUACUUUGAUCUAAUAGCUUACACAGAUGCAGAUUAGGCAAAUGACUUGGAUGACAGGAGGUCUAUCAGUGGCUAUUGUGUAUUUCUGGGUGGAAAUCUCAUUGCUUGGAGUUCAAAAAAGCAAGGUUUAGUUGCUAGAUCUACGGCUGAAUCAGAAUACAGAGCAAUGGCCCUUUGUACUACAGAACUCACAUGGAUUAGCUCCUUACUAAGUGAGCUGAAAAUAGAGAUACAAAGAACACCAACAAUCCUAAGUGAUAGCACAAGUGCAGCUGCAAUAGCCACCAAUCAUGUCUUUCACUCAAAAACUAAGCAUUUUGAGAUAGACCUACACUUUAUCAGGGACAAGGUAGCUAGAGGUGAAAUGGAAAUUAGCUUUGUUGCAGGCAGAGAUCAAAUAGCCGAUGUUCUAACUAAGCCAUUGCCUUAUUACAAAUUCAGCUGCUUCAGAAGCAAACUCAAGGUAUUUGACAAAACCUUGUGUUUAAGAGAGGGUGUUAAAAAUAGCAGCCAUGACCAUGACCAUGACCAUAACCAUAACCAGUCAACAGCUGACCUUAGUGACACAUUGGCAUGCCACCUGAGCUACACCCAUUUACCAGCUGAUGAAAGAAAUGAGACAAAUUCAAUGAGGCGGCAAAACAGUUACACAGAGGAAUAUCAGCACAUAGGAUGAAUGGAUGAAGAUUCUGGAAGCAUUAUAUCAUUGGCUAAUGAUUCACGGAUUGUUUUUGUUUUAUCUGAAAUUGUUAUCCUUAGCUAGCUGUCAUUUUUGUUCUUUUAUGUAUAUAUAGACGAUGGCCUGUAAACAUUAUUCAUUCAAGUUUUAUUUCAAUACAAAGCCUCUGGUUUUCUGCUUGCCAAAGAAAAGCAAUUCCUAAGGAAUUUAAGUAUGUUCAAUCUUUGAAGAAGACUUAAAAUCCUGGAGCUAUAAUUCAGAUCAUCUGAAGUUGAUUCUAGAUGCAACCAGAUCUCUAAACUUCCAUUGUGCAUGAACUCAUAAACUAAAGCUUUGAAAUCAUUGCUUUCAAAAUCGGAACUUGAACAUGCAGUUAUGAUUUUGACAAGAUUACUAUGCCUAAUGUUUCUUAAGACCUCGCAUUCAGCCAUGAAGCUCUUUAAAGCCCCACGUUGAUGUAAGAACAGCACCUUCACCGCAACAUCUGUUUGAUCUGGAUCUAGUAUUCCUUUGUAGACUGAGCCGAAGCUUCCAGCACCAACUAAAUUGGCAGAAGAAAAUCCACCGGUAGCUUUCAGGAGACUUUCGUAGGAGACAUUUAGAAGCAAAUCCUUCCUUGAUGAAGACUCUGAACCAGUCACUGUUCUUUUCUUUCUCAAUCGAUUGAUUAUUAAAAGAGACAUGACCAAAACUAGCCCCACAAGCCUAGAGAGGAGCGGAAUCAUAAACUUGAGCCCUUUGGAUUUCUCACUUUUCUUUGACUCACUGGAAGUACAUGGUGGCAACUUAAGUUCUGAGACUCCUCCACAAAGCUUUCCAUUACCAGCUACCGAUAUGGCAGAUGAAUUCUUAAAGAUCCCUUUAUGUGGAACUUCUCCCUCUAGAUUGUUGAAGGACAGAUUCAACCUUCGCAGAAAGGGAAAUGUAUCCAAAAACUUUGGCAUUUUCCCUGAAAAGUUGUUUUGCGAAAGAUCAAGUUCUUCAAGACCAUUUUAAAGAACUAAAGCCUGGAUGGAUUGGGCCACGAAAAAAAUUUUCGCUCAAAUUUAGAUACUCCAGGCCAACACAACUUGCAAGUGAGCUUGGAAUUUCACCUGAUAACUUAUUCUCCGAUAAAUCUAAUUGUCGAAUAUUUUUCAGAUUUCCAACUUCCGAUGGUAUACGACCAGUGAAAUGAUUGUGCGACAAAUCCAACCAUCCUGAUAAGGAGGAUAGGCCAAUAACUUCACUGGGUAUAGCCCCAGAAAGAUUAUUAUCUGACAGAUCUAAUUUCUGCAGUUGAUGACAAGUUCCUAGAGCUGAAGGCAAGCUUCCUCGUAUGGAAUUUCUAUGUAAAUCAAG